ensembl:lncRNA
GUAUGUCACAGAAAAUAUUCAGAGUCAUAGAAUCAUUAAGGUUGUAAAAGAUCUCUAAGGCCUCUAGUCCAGCCAUCCACCUAGCAUCAAUAUUGCCCACUAAACCAUAUCCCUAAGUACCACAUCUACCUUUUCCUCAAACAACUCCAGGGACAGUGACUCCACCACUUCCCUGAGCAACCAGUUCCAAUGAAUGAGUUGUUCGCCACUGCAUUCACCUUUCUUCAGAGUUCACCUACAAGCGCUGUAAUUUAAAUAUUUCUCAUUUAAUUGACAGGCAUCAUAGAGUUUGUUGCAGAAAAAAAGAUGUGUGGAAUAUCCUUCCAUCUGAUCAAUACUCCUCUAGGAUUUAGGUGACAUAUAGCUGAGCACCUUGAAACCUCUGCUUUUCAAUCUCAAAAAGAUGCAGAAAUGAACUCUGGCCUGGAGUGAAAGACAACCCUAUUAAUCUUCAGGAUGAAAGUUGCUUCUUCUUCAGGCAGGAUUCCCAGAACUGCGCCAUCAUUUCUGGCCACAGAAAUGGGAAAGAGUAAACCCUUGGGCCAGCCCUAUCUGCCAGAGCACCCCCAAGCUCUGGAGAUUCAGAAAGGCAAAGGAACCUGCUCAGGAUCUCACUGGAAGCUAAAGUCAGAAAAAUAGCUAGAGCCCAGGCAAAGAGAAAAAAUACCUGCAGUCUUUCCGUCCACUAAAUAUGUUGUUGCCAUUGCUUGUAACAGGCACAGCUUUGCACUAAGCAAGCAGUAUGGGCCUCCUAGGGUUUGUCUGAACUUGUUUUGACCCAGCUGGAAAUUUGCUUCAGCUUGUUACAGCAUUUACCUAAUGACCAUGGGACUGUUACCUCCUUGGUUUUAGCUGUCGCUUAGCUUGGAACAACUCUGUGGUGUAACACCAGGUAUUAAAGUUUUGCAACUAAUGGAUAGUGCGAGCAAGUGCAAGCAAGACAUUUCUCUGUUCAUUACCGUAGAAGAAAAUGGGGAAGAGAGGGGAGAAGGCAUAGGAUGAAGGCAGAGGCCUCGAGAGCACAUGCAGAGGAAGAUACGGGAGUCCUGGGGGCUAUAAACUGGGGACAGUUACUGGUCAGCAAAUGAAUGCAACCUUGGGCACUGUGUAAACCAUUCCUAUGGGCAGCAAUAAGAACCAAGAAGCAUCCAAUUUACGUCAAGAAUACCAUAUAGAGUACAUGAAGAUACAACGUGGACUUACAGUCUGAUAAAGAAGAAGCAAGGUAGAUAGCAUGCCAGCAAACAGAAAAAAGGCCCCAAGCAAAUCCCAGAGGAGGAAGAGGAAGAAGGGAAGAAGCCUUCAACACCAACAUCACGAUCCUGGUGAUCAUAAGCAAUCCCGAAUCACAAGCAAGGGCUUGGGAUACUAAAGACUCAUGGUAACUCCCUCCUUGUGCCUAGUGGUAAUGGCCACCGUCAGCCUUAGGACCCCGAGGGGUAGUGGGAGGGUGAACAUAACACUGGAGACAGGGGAAAGUUCUAGAAAGUUGUAUAAGUCAUUUUACCUGUGUUACACAAUUUGAACUGUGUAGUGUCACUGUAACUGGGCUAACAAUGACUUUUCAAUGAGACAGUUAAGACUGUAAUUAGAACACCAGUAAAUUACUGACUUUACAUAUGUGGCGUGCUUCUUUUGC